CUACGGGUCGCUGCAGUGGGGAAUUUUGGACAAUGGGCGCAAGCCUGAUCCAGCCAUUCCGCGUGAGUGAAGAAGGCCUUCGGGUUGUAAAGCUCUUUCGCAAGGGAAGAAAACUUAUCCUCUAACAUAGGGUGAGGUUGACGGUACCUUGAUAAGAAGCACCAGCUAACUACGUGCCAGCAGCCGCGGUAAUACGUAGGGUGCGAGCGUUAAUCGGAAUUACUGGGCGUAAAGCGUGCGCAGGCUGUUUUGUAAGUCAGAUGUGAAAUCCCCGAGCUCAACUUGGGAACUGCGUUUGAAACUACAAGACUAGAAUAUGUCAGAGGGGGGUAGAAUUCCAUGUGUAGCAGUGAAAUGCGUAGAGAUGUGGAGGAAUACCAAUGGCGAAGGCAGCCCCCUGGGAUAAUAUUGACGCUCAUGCACGAAAGCGUGGGGAGCAAACAGGAUUAGAUACCCCCGUAGUC
rnacentral:rRNA from 1 species